GUUACCCGACAACCGCGGCACCCGAUUGUGAGGCCGGGCCGGGGCCGGGACGCUGCGGCCGGGCGGGGCCGGGGCGGGGGCGCCGGGCGGGCCUCGGUCCCCGCUCCAUCCCGCCUCGGUCCCCGCUCCAUCCCGCCUCGGUGCCGCCUCGGUGCCCCCUCGAGCCGCCCUCGGGACACACAAGUAGCAGAAGUCAUUUCCUGGUGUCAUGGUUUAUCACCUAAUCUGCAGCCAGGAAUUAGUGCUCCAGAAGACUGACGUUAUUACAUCCUGUAUUUUUCUUUGGCAUUCUCUUACACAAUACAGAUGUGCUAAAAGAAAAAAAAAAUACAGUAUUUAUCAACCUC